rnacentral:snRNA from 1 species
GUUUCUUCUGAGUCUUCUAAUAAAAUUGAAAUGAUACAUAGUAGAUUAGCAUGGCUCCUGCGCAAGGAUAACAUGCACAAAUCGAUAAAUGUUAGGGAAUGAC